GAUGAACGCUGGCGGCGUGCCUAAUACAUGCAAGUCGAGCGAACAGACGAGGAGCUUGCUCCUCUGACGUUAGCGGCGGACGGGUGAGUAACACGUGGAUAACCUACCUAUAAGACUGGGAUAACUUCGGGAAACCGGAGCUAAUACCGGAUAAUAUAUUGAACCGCAUGGUUCAAUAGUGAAAGACGGUUUUGCUGUCACUUAUAGAUGGAUCCGCGCCGCAUUAGCUAGUUGGUAAGGUAACGGCUUACCAAGGCAACGAUGCGUGGCCGACCUGAGAGGGUGAUCGGCCACACUGGAACUGAGACACGGUCCAGACUCCUACGGGAGGCAGCAGUAGGGAAUCUUCCGCAAUGGGCGAAAGCCUGACGGAGCAACGCCGCGUGAGUGAUGAAGGUCUUCGGAUCGUAAAACCCUGUUAUUAGGGAAGAACAAAUGUGUAAGUAACUAUGCACGUCUUGACGGUACCUAAUCAGAAAGCCACGGCUAACUACGUG
rnacentral:rRNA from 1 species